CAGGUCACACUUGCUGAGGAUAUGGAGGAUUCCAUUAUUUGGAAGUUCACCAAGGACGGUUUGUACUCUGCCUCCUCGGCUUAUAAGGCGCAAUUUGAGGACCUUACUACAUCGGAAACGGUUCAGUCGGUGUGGAAGGUGUGGGCUCCUCCGCGGUGCAAUUUUUUUGCUUGGCUUGCCCUUCAAAACAGGAUUUGGACAUGA
rnacentral:rRNA from 1 species